rnacentral:rRNA from 1 species
CCUACGGGUGGCAGCAGUGAGGAAUAUUGGUCAAUGGACGAGAGUCUGAACCAGCCAAGUAGCGUGAAGGAUGACUGCCCUAUGGGUUGUAAACUUCUUUUAUAUGGGAAUAAAAUGUUCCACGUGUGGGAUUUUGUACGUACCAUAUGAAUAAGGAACGGCUAAUUCCGUGCCAGCAGCCGCGGUAAUACGGAGGAUCCGAGCGUUAUCCGGAUUUAUUGGGUUUAAAGGGAGCGUAGGUGGAUUGUUAAGUGAGUUGUGAAAGGUUGCGGCUCAACCGUAGAAUUGCAGUGGAAACUGGCGGUCUUGAGUGCGGUAGAGGUAGGCGGAAUUCGUGGUGUAGCGGUGAAAUGCUUAGAUAUCACGAAGAACUCCGAUUGCGAAGGCAGCUCACUGGACUGCAACUGACGCUGAGGCUCGAAAGCGUGGGUAUCGAACAGGAUUAGAUACCCCAGUAGUC